UUUCUUAGAGAAUGGGAUAUUAAUUUCAAGUUUUAGUGAAAAGUAUAGGAUAUUAAUUUCAAGUGCCUUAGAGAAUGGGAUAUUAAUUCCAGGUUUCUUAACCAUCUCUAAGAACUUAUCAAAUUGUUUUUCAUGCUGAUCCUUCUUCUUGUUUGUUGGAGGAUAUGGGAGUUUAAUGGUUGGUUUUGGCUCUUUUAGUUUUUUCUCAACCACUUUUUGUGUGACUUCU
rnacentral:lncRNA from 1 species